CGGACUCCACAUUUGAAAAGAAAAUCUCCAGAGCAUCAGAAUCCAAGAGUACUUUCUACAACAAUGAAAGUGUUCUCAUCUGCACUGCUCACUAGAGCAGCCGCUAGCCUCGUGUGGCUGUUGAAGAUUGCAAACAUACAUGACAAGAAGAAAUGAAGAUACUAAAUAAAAUUUUCAAAUAUACAUAUAUAUGACAGCAAAAAAGGAUAUGAAAUAAACAAAAAUUUAUGCAAC
rnacentral:lncRNA from 1 species